UACGGGAGGCAGCAGUGGGGAAUAUUGCACAAUGGGCGCAAGCCUGAUGCAGCGACGCCGCGUGCGGGAUGACGGCCUUCGGGUUGUAAACCGCUUUUGACUGGGAGCAAGCCCUUCGGGGUGAGUGUACCUUUCGAAUAAGCACCGGCUAACUACGUGCCAGCAGCCGCGGUAAUACGUAGGGUGCAAGCGUUAUCCGGAAUUAUUGGGCGUAAAGGGCUCGUAGGCGGUUCGUCGCGUCCGGUGUGAAAGUCCAUCGCUUAACGGUGGAUCCGCGCCGGGUACGGGCGGGCUUGAGUGCGGUAGGGGAGACUGGAAUUCCCGGUGUAACGGUGGAAUGUGUAGAUAUCGGGAAGAACACCAAUGGCGAAGGCAGGUCUCUGGGCCGUCACUGACGCUGAGGAGCGAAAGCGUGGGGAGCGAACAGGAUUAGAUACCCUGGUAGUCCACGCCGUAAACGGUGGAUGCUGGAUGUGGGGACCAUUCCACGGUCUCCGUGUCGGAGCCAACGCGUUAAGCAUCCCGCCUGGGGAGUACGGCCGCAAGGCUAAAACUCAAAGAAAUUGACGGGGGCCCGCACAAGCGGCGGAGCAUGCGGAUUAAUUCGAUGCAACGCGAAGAACCUUACCUGGGCUUGACAUGUUCCCGACAGCCGUAGAGAUACGGUCUCCCUUCGGGGCGGGUUCACAGGUGGUGCAUGGUCGUCGUCAGCUCGUGUCGUGAGAUGUUGGGUUAAGUCCCGCAACGAGCGCAACCCUCGCCCUGUGUUGCCAGCACGUCGUGGUGGGAACUCACGGGGGACCGCCGGGGUCAACUCGGAGGAAGGUGGGGAUGACGUCAGAUCAUCAUGCCCCUUACGUCCAGGGCUUCACGCAUGCUACAAUGGCCGGUACAACGGGAUGCGACACCGUGAGGUGGAGCGGAUCCCUUAAAACCGGUCUCAGUUCGGAUUGGAGUCUGCAACCCGACUCCAUGAAGGCGGAGUCGCUAGUAAUCGCGGAUCAGCAACGCCGCGGUGAAUGCGUUCCCGGGCCUUGUACACACCGCCCGUCAAGUCAUGAAAGUGGGCAGCACCCGAAGCCGGUGGCCUAACCCCUUGUGGGAUGGAGCCGUCUAAGGUGAGGCUCGUGAUUGGGACUAAGUCGUAACAAGGUAGCCGUACCGGAAGGUGCGGCUG
rnacentral:rRNA from 1 species